rnacentral:lncRNA from 1 species
CUUUGCACCUCCUUUUUGACCAUGGGUUUCCUUAUAGAUAAAAUUUGAAUUUGAACCUGAUUAAAAUGGGAUUUGAAUCAGGUGUGGCAUGUGAGAGACCUGAUUUUUAUGUGACAAAAAUCAAGAAUGAAAAGAGGGCAUGCACUAGUAUCAUGGUAGGCUUUCUUUGUUGCGAUGAUAACCUCUUCUCAAUGCCUCCUUACUUUCUUCCUUCAAUCCAAAACCCAAAAUUUGAUAUGAUCAGAUCUAAGGAAAGAAAAAUAGAGAGAGAG